GGAGUGGGAGGAUUUUAGGGAGUAUAGAAGUUGGAUGAAAGAGUAGGGGGGGUUGGUGAAGACGAAUUAAAGUAUACGUGUUUGAAUGGUUGGGGGUUUUGUUUGUGUAGAUUACUAUAGUUGGAUAUAGCGGGAGGGUAUAUGUAGAGAUUGGGAGUAUUCAGCAAUGUUGUAAUGUCAUGAGGUUUUGGUUUGGUGGGGAAAGCGUGGAAGUUGAAGAUGAAAGAGAUGAGGAGAGGGGGGGAGUGGAGGCGUGAGUAGUGGUAUAGCGAUUCUAUUGAAAUGCGAAAAGAGCAAUAAGUUACCUUAAAUGAAUGACUGGACAUAUUUGAGGCAUUGGUGGGAGAUGAGGUCGUGCCCUUAGGGUGCUGAAUGGCAGGGGGAUGCAGGGGGGGUUAGUCAUCGCGAGUCGUGAGAUGUUGAGUUAAGUCCCGCGACGAGCGCAACCGUUAUUAUCAGUUGCCAGCAUUCAGUUGGGCACUCUGGUGAGACUGCCGGUGACAAACCGGAGGAAGGUGGGGAUGACGUCAAAUCAUCAUGCCCCUUAUGACCUGGGCUACACACGUGCUACAAUGGACGGUACAACGAGUUGCGAAGUCGUGAGGCUAAGCUAAUCUCUUAAAGCCGUUCUCAGUUCGGAUUGUAGGCUGCAACUCGCCUACAUGAAGUUGGAAUCGCUAGUAAUCGCGGAUCAGCAUGCCGCGGUGAAUACGUUCCCGGGCCUUGUACACACCGCCCGUCACACCAUGAGAGUUUGUAACACCCAAAGCCGGUGAGAUAACCUUCGGGAGUCAGCCGUCUAAGGGGGACAGAUAUUAGGGGAAGUCUACAGUGCAGCAAAA
rnacentral:rRNA from 2 species